UCGACUAGCAUGCGAGUUGAGAGGGGUAAGCCCUCGGCGAAUUGCUCAGUAACACGCGGUCAACCUGCCCUUGGGUCCGGGAUAACCCCGGGAAACUGGUACUAAUACCGGAUAGAUCAAGGAUACUGGAAUGUUCCCUGGUCUAAAACUCCGGUGCCCAAGGAUGGGUCUGCGGCCUAUCAGGUAGUAGUGGGUGUAACGUACCUACUAGCCUACGACGGGUAAGGGUUGUGAGAGCAAGAGCCCUGAGAUGGAUUCUGAGACAUGAAUCCAGGCCCUACGGGGUGCAGCAGGCGCGAAAACUUUACACUGCGGGAAACCGCGAUUAGGGGACCCCGAGUGCCAGCACCUAGUGCUGGCUGUCCCGCUGUCUAAACAACAGUGGUUAGC
rnacentral:rRNA from 1 species